rnacentral:rRNA from 1 species
UAGAUACCCGGGUAGUCCACGCUGUAAACGAUGAGAACUAGCCGUUGGGGAGGUUAAACUCUUUGGUGGCGCAGCAAACGCGUUAAGUUCUCCGCCUGGGGAGUACGGCCGCAAGGUUGAAACUCAAAGGAAUUGACGGGGGCCCGCACAAGCGGUGGAGCAUGUGGUUUAAUUCGAUGCAACGCGAAGAACCUUACCUGCCCUUGACAUCCUCGGAACUUGGAAGAGAUUCCUUGGUGCCUUCGGGAACCGAGUGACAGGUGCUGCAUGGCCGCCGUCAGAAGG